GCAUAAAGCGUCCGUAGCCGGCUAUGUUAGUUUUCGGUUAAAUCCAUGUGCUCAACGCAUGGGCUGUCGAGAAUACUGCAUAGCUAGGGAGUGGGAGAGGUAGACGGUACUCGGUAGGAAGGGGUAAAAUCCUUUGAUCUAUCGAUGACCACCAGUGGCGAAGGCGGUCUACCAGAACACGUCCGACGGUGAGGGAUGAAAGCUGGGGGAGCAAACCGGAUUAGAUACCCGGGUAGUCCCAGCUGUAAACUAUGCAAACUCAGUGAUGCAUUGGCUUGUGGCCAGUGCAGUGCCGCAGAGAAGUCGUUAAGUUUGCCGCCUGGGAAGUACGUACGCAAGUAUGAAACUUAAAGGAAUUGGCGGGGGAGCACCACAAGGGGUGAAGCCUGCGGUUCAAUUGGAGUCAACGCCAGAAAUCUUACCCGGAGAGACAGCAGAAUGAAGGUCAAGCUGAAGACUUUACCAGACAAGCUGAGAAGUGGUGCAUGGCCGUCGCCAGCUCGUGCCGUGAGGUGUCCUGUUAAGUCAGGUAACGAGCGAGAUCCCUACCUCUAGUUGCCACCAUUACUCUCAGGAGUAGUGGGGCGAAUUAGCGGGACUGCCGCAGUUAAUGCGGAGGAAGGAGGGGGCCACGGCAGGUCAGUAUGCCCCGAA
rnacentral:rRNA from 1 species